rnacentral:rRNA from 1 species
CCUACGGGCGGCAGCAGUGAGGAAUAUUGGUCAAUGGGCGCGAGCCUGAACCAGCCAAGUCGCGUGAAGGAUGACGGCCCUACGGGUUGUAAACUUCUUUUAUCGAGGAGUAAAGUGAGGCACGUGUGCCUUUUUGUAUGUACUUUAUGAAUAAGCAUCGGCUAACUCCGUGCCAGCAGCCGCGGUAAUACGGAGGAUCCGAGCGUUAUCCGGAUUUAUUGGGUUUAAAGGGAGCGUAGGUGGGUUUUUAAGUCAGGUGUGAAAGUGUGGGGCUCAACCGUAAAACUGCAGUUGAUACUGGCGGUCUUGAGUGCAGGAGAGGCAGGCGGAAUGCGUGGUGUAGCGGUGAAAUGCUUAGAUAUCACGAAGAACUCCGAUUGCGAAGGCAGCUUACUAAACUGUAACUGACACUGAUGCUCGAAAGCGUGGGUAUCAAACAGGAUUAGAUACCCCAGUAGUC